rnacentral:rRNA from 1 species
GACGAACCGUGCGAACGUUAUUCGGAAUCACUGGGCUUAAAGCGCGUGUAGGCGGGACGGCACGUCGGUCGCUGAAAUCCCCCGGCUCAACCGGGGAACGGGCGCCGAUACGACCGCCCUGGAGGGACGUAGGGGACCUGGAACUUCCGGUGGAGCGGUGAAAUGCGUUGAGAUCGGAAGGAACGCCCGUGGCGAAAGCGAGGUCUGGACGUUUCUGACGCUGAGACGCGAAAGCCAGGGGAGCGAACGGG